rnacentral:rRNA from 1 species
CCAGAGAACUUUCCAGAGAUGGAUUGGUGCCUUCGGGAACUCUGAGACAGGUGCUGCAUGGCUGUCGUCAGCUCGUGUUGUGAAAUGUUGGGUUAAGUCCCGCAACGAGCGCAACCCUUUAUCCUUUGUUGCCAGCGGUUAGGCCGGGAACUCAAAGGAGACUGCCAGUGAUAAACUGGAGGAAGGUGGGGAUGACGUCAAGUCAUCAUGACCCUUACGAGUAGGGCUACACACGUGCUACAAUGGCGCAUACAAAGAGAAGCGACCUCGCGAGAGCAAGCGGACCUCAUAAAGUGCGUCGUAGUCCGGAUUGGAGUCUGCAACUCGACUCCAUGAAGUCGGAAUCGCUAGUAAUCGUGGAUCAGAAUGCCACGGUGAAUACGUUCCCGGGCCUUGUACACACCGCCCGUCACACCAUGGGAGUGGGUUGCAAAAGAAGUAGGUAGCUUAACCUUCGGGAGGGCGCUUACCACUUUGUGAUUCAUGACUGGGGUGAAGUCGUAACAAGGUAGGCGUAGUGCU